GGUAACAUUACUCAUUACCUUUUACAAGAAGAAAUUGCAUCAUCCUGUGCAUGAUGUCUGCAUGAUAACCAGAAACACCACUUUCUUUCUCUGAAGUGAGAAAUACUCAUCAUAGGCAACGUUUAUUGCAAAACCCCUGGAAAAAAACAUCAAGGGCUGUAAUGAGGAAUGAACGAGAAUAAAUGAAUGCAAAGUGUCUGGCGCAUAAUAGAUGGUUGUGGAGUUUGAAUGGCAUGGAAGAGAAGGUUCGAAAGAGUUCCAC